rnacentral:tRNA from 1 species
GCGCGCGUAACUCAGCGGAACGAGUGCCACAUUGACAUUGUGGAAGUCGCUGGUUCGAUCCCAGCCGUGCGCACCA